AUUGAACGCUGGCGGCAGGCCUAACACAUGCAAGUCGAACGAGUGGCGGACGGGUGAGUAAUGUCUGGGAAACUGCCUGAUGGAGGGGGAUAACUACUGGAAACGGUAGCUAAUACCGCAUACCAUCGGAUGUGCCCAGAUGGGAUGAGCUAGUAGGUGGGGUAACGGCUCACCUAGGCGACGAUCCCUAGCUGGUGUGAGAGGAUGACCAGCCACACGGGAACGGAGACACGGUCCAGACUCCUACGGGAGGCAGCAGUGGGGAAUAUUGCACAAGGGGGGAAAGCCUGACGCAGCCAUGCCGCGGGUAUGAAGAGGGUCUUCGGGUGGUAAAGUACUUUCAGCGGGGAGGCGUUACCCGCAGAAGAAGCACCGGCUAACUCCGUGCCAGCAGCCGCGGUAAUUC
rnacentral:rRNA from 1 species